rnacentral:lncRNA from 1 species
UUUGGUCUUGUUUAUUCAAAAUUGGGUCAAUCCUUAAGAUUGACUCCAUUCAAUUAACCCAAGUCCAACUUUAGCCCAAGCCUAUCGCUCUAGCCUACCCAAACCCCUUACCCUUUAAAAAACCUAGAUAUAGGAGACAUAAAGAGAAGAACACGAUCAGAUCCCUACCCUUGAGAAAUCCAGCAAAUGGCGCAUCUCAGAGAAGCUCCCAUUUUCCUUCUUCACUAUCAUCUUCAACCUUGAAUACUCAACCACUGCUCCCCACUUUUCCACCAUUUUCGUUUCUUUUCAAGCAAAACAAAGAGCCAGCUUCUUCAGUUUCUUUUCUUUACUGCAAAGAUCAGAAAACACAAAAAAAGAUAGAGAAAGAAUACAUAGCAUAAAGGCUAAAAAACGAGAUGAAAUGAAAAGCAAGAGAUCCGAGUUUCGACGAGUUUUGGUGUAAUUUGAAUUUUCCGGCGAGUUCCGAGUCCAUGGAAGGUCGUACUCUGAGCUUUCCUGGGCUGAUUGGUUGUUGUCUGCUUCAUUGCUAAGCCCCAGCUUUCCUUCGCCUUUACUUGACUGUUUUAGAUCAAAUGUUGCAAUCUAGGUAAGUUUAUGUAUUUCUGCCAACCUCUAAAGAAUCAUGAAUAAAAAUCCUACUUGUUCAUUUUCUGAGUCUAUUCAAGAUCAUAAAUGUAGCAUGUGUAAUUGUUAAAUUGGUUUGAGGUUUCGUUUUUGCUAAGCUCUGAAAUUACCAAUAUGUUAAGUUGGAUACUCGAGUUGUUAAAUGUUAAUGGAUAAUUCAGUGAUUUAUUGUUGAUGGUUAUUUAAUUUAUGAGAUUAUUGAUUCAUGCUUGAAAUGCAUCUUUAACUUCUUUUUUUUUGUGCUUUAAUUUUAUAUUUAAAAUACCUACGUUUUUUUUAUUUAUUGUUUGCAUGGAGUUCCUUUGUCGAAUUUGCUAAUGGUUAGAUCAUAAGUGACUUAGAAACAAAAAAAAAUAUAUUAAUGAUCAUCAUUAGUUAUUUAGCAUUUCUCUUCUAAAAAGAUUGACUAAAUAUUGAAUAUUUAUUUGAUUUUAGGAAUUAUGCAAUGGCGAAUAAUUGAAACGAUUUUAGGAUCAGUUGUAGUCAAUGUGAGACUAUUUGUCUUCUAUUUCCUUGUAAUGACUUCAAAUUUAGAAAAAUAAUUAAUUCAUGAACAUCCAUAGAUUGCUUUAAUUGAGUACAAAACUUUUAAAAUAAAUUGGGACAUGGCAUGUCAAAUAAAAUCCCAAAACCCAUGGCCCUCACUUAAUUAAUUUUAACUUUUUAGAAAUCGAGAUGUGCCAUUAGUUGAAUUUUUCAUGGCCCUCGCAAACUUAAAAGAGCGUAGUUGCUUUAGGCGCGCUAUUAAAUUAAUUUCCUUAAACUCGGGUGUGCAGUUCAUGUGACCCAAAUCAAAAUCUCAACAACAUUAAAUAAAAAUGUGUCGAGGACCGCAGGUGCAUUUCAUGUGGCGUGGUUCAAGGCGUGUUUUAAAUAACGUUGAAUCUUCCUAAAAAUCAGAUAAUAGGCCAAUUAUAAUAGUUUAAGCGACCGUGCUAGAACCACGAAAUCCGGGGGUGCCUAACACAUUCCUUAUUCAGAAUUUCUGGUUCACAGACUUCAAAAGGAAAGUCGAGUUUUCCUCGAUUUGGGAUUAAAAAUAAACUGGUGACUUGGGACACCAAUUAAAAUAUUCCAAGUGGCGACUCUGAUAAAUAAAUAAUCUCAUUUUGAAUAAUGUCACUUAUAUUGGAAAAUCUCUCUAUAUAUACCUUCAGGUGUGUAAAAGGAGGUAUGACAAGCUUCCUUAAUUAUUCCUUGCUAUUUUGCUUUAUCAGCUAUCCCCGAGGCAUGUUUCCCUUCCCCAGCUUUAAUUGCUUAUUACCUGUUUACUUUUCUGCCAUAUAUUAUACAACUGCACAGGUUUAUCUAGAGUCUGAUCCUAGCCUCGUCACUACUUCGCCGGGGUUAGUCCAGGCACUUACCAGCACAUGGGGUCAAUUGUGCUGAUACUACACUCUGCACUGUGUGCAGAUCCUGGAGCAGCUUUCAGACAGUAGUUGGAGGGCUUCUUUCAGUCCAUCCGGAGACCCAAGGUAGACCUGCAGACACCCGCGGGCCCUAGCAUCUCCCUCUAUCUCUAUUUCAUGUUUCCUUUAUCUCUUUCUCAGGAACAACACUAUGUAUUUUCUUCAGACUUUGUAUGUAGUGACUCUUAGACAGUCUGUAGUAUUGUGACACCAGAUUUUGGGGUAUUGAAGCUUAAAAGUGAAAAUAGACGUAGCUCUAAGCUUUAUAAAUGUUGACUUCCGCCUAUUUCCUAACUUUCGUUUUAUUUAUAUUGUCGCCCUAUGUUUGUUUUAAAAAGAAGUAAUAUAAAAAGGUAGUAAAUAGUUAAGGGU